UGUGAUGAUUAAUGAUAGUGGAACAUACGAGUGUCGUGUCUUAAUGGAAGAAACAGACUCGUGGAAGUCCAUCAGCAUCACCCACCUUCAUUUUGAUACUUCAUGUCCAUCAGGAGGACAUCCUGCCUGGAUAGUUCUGUUAGUUGUUUUGGUUAUUAUUCUUGUGCUUCUUAUUGCUUAUUGUAUAUAUAUAAAAAACAACUAAAAAACAAAGAAGCUAUUAUCAUUCCUGCUGCUGUUUGAAUGAGUCAUUGUUAUCGAUAAAGAAGACAGAUGAUCAAAGAGAGAAAAAAGUGAUGAUGUUGAGCUUCAUCUUCAAUCUCCACAACUAAACUGUGAGUUAGAUGAUGUGAGGAUAUAAAUGAACUCUCUUGAACAUCCAGCAGACUGCUAUAGAGGUCAAACAUCUGUGAUUAUCAUCAUGUUUACCAUUAAAGCUUCUGCUGUGA